GACGAACGCUGGCGGCGUGCUUAACACAUGCAAGUCGAACGGAAAGGUCCUGCUGGCAGGGUACACGAGUGGCGAACGGGUGAGUAACACGUGGGUGAUCUGCCCUGCACUUCGUGAUAAUCCUGGGAAACUGGGUCUAAUACAGGAUAGGAGCCAUUUUUAGUGUGAUGGUUCGAAAGUUUUUUCGGUGUAGGAUGAGCUCGCGGGCUAUCAGCUUGUUGGUGGCGUAAUGGCUUACCAAGGCGGUGACGGGUCGCCGGCCUGAGUGGGUGGACGGCGACAAUGACACCGAGCGGCGGCCCAGACGCCGACUGGAGGCAGCAGUAGGGAAUAUUGCCCAAGCAGCGCCAGGUGGAUGCAGCGACGCCUCGUAUCGGAUGACUGCCUUGGUGUUGUAGACGCCUGACGCUAGGAACGAAACGUCUUGUGACGGUACCUAAAUAAGAAGCACCGGCUAACUACGUG
rnacentral:rRNA from 1 species